CAGUUCAUGCCUUUAAGCAAUCAUCCUCCUAACUCCCCUUGGAAUAUUGGAGAUCCAAUUAUCAAAAAGAAACUUAGAGUGCGACCAAAGGGGUCUAGGAACAAAACCCUUGCUAAGUUAGGGAACAAGACCAGCAAGUUAAAAACUGCUAAGGGAUCUCAAACUCAGGCGCAACCAACUGAAUUUCAAGAGUCAAGCCAGUUUGUGAAGAAGCCGGUAAGGCGUAAGAAAUAGGGUUCAAAUCCUUAUGCUGAGUUUUGGGAGGCUGCCGGUGAAGCUCAAGUUUUGGGCAAUGACCCGUUAAUGGAUGAUUUUAAUUGUACCUCACCAAUCUCAACCCCUGCAACUAUUCUGAUGUCUCCAUUGUUAACUCCUUCUCAGCAAUCAAUAUCCAACCCAAAGAUGGCAAAAAAGAGCCCCAUUAGCUCCACCUACAACAUUGGAGAUCCGAAUUCAUAAAAGACGCCUAGAGGGCAAACAAAGGGGCCUAGGAUCAAAACUCUUGCUAAGUUAGGCUACAACACCCACAAGUUAAAAACUGCUAAGGGCUGUGAAAAUCAGACGCAACCUACGGAUGCUCCGGAUACACGACAAUCUUUGAAGAAGCCGAUAUUGGAAUUUUGUUUCUGUUCAUUAUUUUAUAUUUGUUGUUAAGGCUGUUUGUGUCUAAAGCUUUGAGUUAUUUCUAAAGCCUAUUUGUGUCUAAAGGUUUGAGUUAUUUCUAAAGCAUGUUUGUGUCAAUUCAGGUGAAGCGUAAGAAGGGUCAAAAUUAGCUUGCUGAGUGAUGGAAGGAGGCUGGUGGAGCUCAAUCAAUUCUGUUCUAAACUAUGAAUUAAUUCUACGCUGAGCAUAAUGACUCAAUUCUGUAAUGUUUAAAAAAUGACUAUAUUAUGUGCUGAGCCUGUGAGCAAUUAUUAUGUUGUAGGCUUGAUAUUGAAAUACUGAUCCUAAUGUA